rnacentral:lncRNA from 1 species
AGACAUAAGAGGGCAAAAGGAAGGCCCAGGCCGAUCGACCUGGACCCUCCCAAGCCAAUCGGCCUGGGGUUUCCUUCGCCCCCUCACCUUCCAAUUUUUGCCACGCACUGUCCAGACUAUAAAUACCUCAAAAAUCCACCGAGCCCCAUAUCCAAGAUGACAUACUCGACGUGAAGUAGCAAAGAAGCAGAAGGAGCUUAAGGGACACCUCUCCGGAGAGUCGAGGGUCAUGUAGUUGUCGAGUGUUUGUGUAGCCGAGCCCCUAUUGGUGUGAUCACCCUGCGAGCAAGAUCACACUGGCGUUUUGGAGCUAGGAGUCAUCAAGAUCAAGGUAUGAUCCUGGUGGUGAUAUUGUUGAUGUACAAUCAUUCAUGGUGAAGUAAUAGAUAUGUUCAUGUUCUUAGCGAUCUAAGUAUCUCCUUCUAUGGUUUUAUGCUCUUUCGGGUUUGCUUGCUUUUCAAUCUAUGAAUCGAUGAUAGAUUGUUUAGGGUGUUAUUGUGGUCAUGGUGACCAGAUUGAGUACAACAUGUUCAUAUGAUUGUACCCUUAACCUGCUUGCACUGAUAGAGAGGAUCGUGAUAGGAUCUAGCUUGUGUAAGGUGGGGGGGGUUUCAGGAGUCGGACUAGAGGUGUAGAUUGAAAGAUGCUUUUUACUAGGUUCAUAUCUGUGGUGCUUUACUAUCCAUGCUCAGAAUUAUAACAUAUCCAUAGUCUAGGUUGCUCUAGAUUGGUUACCUCUGCUCUAUUUGUUAUUUGUCUGUAUAUAGUAGAUUGGAUCCGAAUCUCUCAUCAACACUAAGUUCAUACUAACAAUGCUAGUUGAAUUAGAUCUUGUGCUAUAAGUUUCGCGGAUUGAUAAACCUUGGGGGAGUACUUUGAGGGAAGAGCUACAACUAAUCUGUGCGUUUGCGGUUCACAAAUUGGCAUGCUAACUGUCAUCAACAAGCUUUUCUGGAGCCGUUGCCGGGGAACUAAUAGUCAAGUUCUAGUUUAACUAUGCAUCUGUAGAUAUAACUUUUUAUUCAUAAUUUUCCAAUCUUUUCUUUUUAAUCUUUUUGGUUGCUUUUAUUCAAUCUAAAUCAAGAGUUCAAUCUAGUUCUUGUAUAUAUGUGUUUGCUUUCACUAACACUAACAUGAAAUGGAGGGCUACCUCUCCAACAAACCAAAAAAAUUUGUGGAUGAUCCAGAAAAACUUUACAGGCAAAGGAAACGUUUAGCACAAGCAAGAAAGCUAGAGAUUGCAGAAGCUUCAGCUAUCAAGGAAGAAUUGGAAUUAUCGGAAACAUCAUCAUCAUCAUCAUCAUCAUUACAUCAUCAUCUACUCCAAAGUCGAC